UCUGUAAGAAAUCUGUAUGAUGAUUGCACAUCAUUUAUUACCAUAUUGAACUGAUAUAUUCUAUUUUAACAAACUAAAAUAUUAAUAACAUACUAUUUUUAAAUUAUAGCCAAUCAAUAUAGCCAAUACCAUUGAAGUACAAUGUCUUACAGGUUCGACAAAUUUUACAUAAUGUCUUACAGGUGCAAUUUAGCCAACGAUUAUAGCCAAC
rnacentral:lncRNA from 1 species